GAAAUGCGAUAAGUAGUGUGAAUUGCAGAAUUCAGUGAAUCAUCGAAUCUUUGAACGCACAUUGCGCCCCUUGGUAUUCCGUGGGGCAUGCCUGUUCGAGCGUCAUUUGUACCCUCAAGCUCUGCUUGGUGUUGGGUGUUUGUCCCCGUCUCCGCGCGUGGACUCGCCCCAAAGUGAUUGGCAGCCGGCGUACUGGUCCCGGAGCGCAGCACAUGUCGCGCAAACGAGUGCCUUGGUACGGCGGCGUCCAUAAGCCCCUCUCUCACGCUCUUGACCUCGGAUCAGGUAGGGAUACCCGCUGAACUUAAGC
rnacentral:misc_RNA from 1 species